UACGGAAGGUGCGAGCGUUGUUCGGAGUGAUUGGGCGUAAAGCGCACGUAGGCGGGUUUGUAAGUCGGUUGUGAAAUCCCUGGGCUCAACCCAGGAGGGUCAUCCGAGACUGCAGAUCUUGAAUGCCUGAGAGGUUAGUGGAAUUCCUGGUGUAGGAGUGAAAUCCGUAGAUAUCAGGAGGAACACCGGAGGCGAAGGCGGCUAACUGGUGGUGCAUUGACGCUGAGGUGACGAAGCGUGGGGAGCA
rnacentral:rRNA from 1 species